UCGUGCUAUAUGGGGAGCUAGCGGUGCCCUGUAACCUGCAAUCCGCUACAGCAGGAUAGAUCACCCACCGAGGCUAACUUUAUGGAAAGCCGACGUACGCAAGGAAUGUUGAUACCAAGGUCUUGUGCAAUUUCUGGUUGUGAACCGUGUCAGAUCUUGACAGCAUCAGCACUAAGCAAUUUAAGGAAUGUGACACGAGGUAGCUUUGGAGGAGUCACCUACGUGCGAGCCGAUUCGGUAGAUUUAGUCGGAGUGGGCGCACAC
rnacentral:SRP_RNA from 1 species